rnacentral:lncRNA from 1 species
GGUCAACGUAGUCCAGUUGCAGUGCAGUAAGACUCCUUUUGCACCCUUCCUUUACCAAGGACUUCUCGUGAAAUGUGUUCCAUAACUUAGUGACAACGAAGAGGUCUUCCCGCUUCACAGCCCCCUCCUUGAUCUUCUGCUUGAUUGCAUUCCCUAUUUCAUGCUCAUUCUGGUAGAAAUAGGCACAGUCGAUGUGGCGGUAGCCAGCAUCGAUAGCGUGUUUCACCACCUCUUCCACCUUUCCUGGAGGAGCCUGCCAGGUGCCCAGCCCCAGGACGGGCAUCUUCAUCUUGUUGUUCAGCUCCAUGCAAGGCACCGCCAUCCUGUCCCCA